rnacentral:rRNA from 1 species
UACGGAGGGUGCGAGCGUUGUCCGGAAUCAUUGGGCGUAAAGGGUGCGUAGGCUGCGCAGAAAGUUGGGUGUGAAAUCCCUCGGCUUAACCGAGGAACGGCGCCCAAAACUACUGUGCUCGAGGGAGACAGAGGUGAGCGGAACUUAGGGUGGAGCGGUGAAAUGCGUUGAUAUCCUAAGGAACACCGGUGGCGAAAGCGGCUCACUGGGUCUCUUCUGACGCUGAGGCACGAAAGCUAGGGUAGCGAACGGG